CCUACGGGUGGCUGCAGUUCGGAAUAUUCGGCAAUGGACGAAAGUCUGACCGAGCGACGCCGCGUGCGGGAUGAAGGCCUAUGGGUUGUAAACCGCUUUCGCGAGUAGGCGUAAGGCUCGUAAAGAAGCCCCCGCUAAUCACGUGCCAGCAGCGGCGGUAAUACGUGAGGGGCGAACGUUGUUCGGUGUCACUGGGCUUAAAGGGUGCGUAGGUGGUUCUGUAAGUAAGGUGUGAAAUCCCUCGGCUUACCCGGGGAAUUGCAUUUUAUACUGCAGGACUUGAGGGCUAAAGGGGAAAAGGGAACUCCAGGUGUAGCGGUGAAAUGCGCAGAUAUCUGGGGGAAGGCCGGCGGCGAAGGCGCUUUUCUGGUAUACCUGACACUGAGGCACGAAAGCGUGGGGAGCAAACAGGAUUAGAUACCCUUGUAGUC
rnacentral:rRNA from 1 species